AUUGAACGCUGGCGGCAUGCCUUACACAUGCAAGUCGAACGGUAACGCGGGGCAACCUGGCGACGAGUGGCGAACGGGUGAGUAAUGCAUCGGAACGUGCCCAGUAGUGGGGGAUAGCCCGGCGAAAGCCGGAUUAAUACCGCAUACGACCUACGGGUGAAAGGGGGGGAUCGCAAGACCUCUCGCUAUUGGAGCGGCCGAUGUCAGAUUAGGUUGUUGGUGGGGUAAAGGCCUACCAAGCCGACGAUCUGUAGCUGGUCUGAGAGGACGACCAGCCACACUGGGACUGAGACACGGCCCAGACUCCUACGGGAGGCAGCAGUGGGAAAUUUUGGACAAUGGGCGAAAGCCUGAUCCAGCCAUGCCGCGUGCGGGAAGAAGGCCUUCGGGUUGUAAACCGCUUUUGUCAGGGAAGAAAUCUUCUGGGUUAAUACCUCGGGAGGAUGACGGUACCUGAAGAAUAAGCACCGGCUAACUACGUGCCAGCCGCCGCCGUAAAAC
rnacentral:rRNA from 1 species